rnacentral:rRNA from 1 species
UGAUGUUACCUGCAGAAUAAGCACCGGCUAAUUCCGUGCCAGCAGCCGCGGUAAUACGGAAGGUGCAAGCGUUAAUCGGAAUUACUGGGCGUAAAGCGCGCGUAGGUGGUUUGUUAAGUUGGAUGUGAAAGCCCUGGGCUCAACCUAGGAACUGCAUCCAAAACUGGCUAACUAGAGUACGAUAGAGGGAGGUAGAAUUCAUAGUGUAGCGGUGGAAUGCGUAGAUAUUAUGAAGAAUACCAGUGGCGAAGGCGGCCUCCUGGAUCUGUACUGACACUGAGGUGCGAAAGCGUGGGUAGCGAACAGGAUUAGAUACCCUGGUAGUCCACGCCGUAAACGAUGACAACUAGCUGUUGGGAGGCAUUGCCUUUCAGUGGCGCAGCUAACGUUUUAAGUUGUCCGCCUGGGGAGUACGGCCGCAAGGCUAAAACUCAAAUGAAUUGACGGGGACCCGCACAAGCGGUGGAGCAUGUGGUUUAAUUCGAUGCAACGCGAAAAACCUUACCUACUCUUGACAUACUUGGAGGCUCUUGUAAUGAGAGUGUGCCUUUUGGAACCAAGAUACAGGUGCUGCAUGGCUGUCGUCAGCUCGUGUCGUGAGAUGUUCCGUUAAGUCGGAUAACGAGCGCAACCCUUACCCUUAUUUGCCAGCGAUUCGGUCGGGAACUAUAAGGGGACUGCCGGUGAUAAACCGGAGGAAGGUGAGGACGACGUCAAGUCAUCAUGGCCCUUACGAGUAGGGCUACACACGUGCUACAAUGGGGAAUACAGACGGACGCUAAGCCGCGAGGUGGUGCUAAUCCUAAAAAGUUCUUCGUAGUCCGGAUUGGAGUCUGCAACUCGACUCCAUGAAGUCGGAAUCGCUAGUAAUCGCGGAUCAGCAUGCCGCGGUGAAUACGUUCUCGGGUCUUGUACACACCGCCCGUCACACCAUGGAAGUGGAUUGCACCAGAAGUAGAUAGUCUAACCUUAGGGAGGGCGUUUACCACGGUGUGCUUCAUGACUGGGGUGAAGUCGUAACAAGGUAACC